UACGUAGGGCGCAAGCGUUGUCCGGAUUUAUUGGGCGUAAAGAGCUCGUAGGCGGUUCCGUAAGUCGGAUGUGAAAAAUCUGGGCUCAACCCAGUGGAGCACCCGAUACUGCGGUGACUCGAGUCCGGUAGGGGAGUGUGGAAUUCCUGGUGUAGCGGUGAAAUGCGCAGAUAUCAGGAGGAACACCGACGGCGAAGGCAGCACUCUGGGCCGGUACUGACGCUGAGGAGCGAAAGCAUGGGGAGCGAACAGG
rnacentral:rRNA from 1 species